UACGUAGGGGGCAAGCGUUGUCCGGAUUUAUUGGGCGUAAAGAGCGUGUAGGCGGCCAGGUAGGUCCGUUGUGAAAACUCGAGGCUCAACCUCGAGACGUCGGCGGAAACCCUCUGGCUAGAGUCCGGAAGAGGAGAGUGGAAUUCCUGGUGUAGCGGUGAAAUGCGCAGAUAUCAGGAGGAACACCGGUGGCGAAGGCGCCACUCUGGGCCGGUACUGACGCUGAGGAGCGAAAGCGUGGGUAGCAAACAGG
rnacentral:rRNA from 1 species